rnacentral:rRNA from 1 species
CCUACGGGCGGCUGCAGUCGAGGAUCUUCGGCAAUGGGCGCAAGCCUGACCGAGCGACGCCGCGUGCGGGAUGAAGGCCUUCGGGUUGUAAACCGCUGUCAGAGGGGAUGAAAUGCGGGUGGGUACUCCCAUUCGUUUGACAUAUCCUCAGAGGAAGUACGGGCUAAGUUCGUGCCAGCAGCCGCGGUAAGACGAACCGUACGAACGUUAUUCGGAAUCACUGGGCUUAAAGGGUGCGUAGGCGGUGCGGAAAGUUGGGUGUGAAAUCCCUCGGCUCAACCGAGGAACUGCGCUCAAAACUACCGUGCUUGAGGGAGACAGAGGUGAGCGGAACUUAGGGUGGAGCGGUGAAAUGCGUUGAUAUCCUAAGGAACACCGGUGGCGAAGGCGGCUCACUGGGUCUCUUCUGACGCUGAGGCACGAAAGCUAGGGUAGCGAACGGGAUUAGAUACCCCGGUAGUC